AACGAACGCUGGCGGCAUGCCUAACACAUGCAAGUCGAACGAGACCUUCGGGUCUAGUGGCGCACGGGUGCGUAACACGUGGGAAUUUGCCUCGGGGUAUGGAAUAACUCAGGGAAACUUGAGCUAAUACCAUAUAAUGUCUUCGGACCAAAGAUUUAUCGCCCUGAGAUAAGCCCGCGUAGGAUUAGCUAGUUGGUGAGGUAAAGGCUCACCAAGGCGACGAUCCUUAGCUGGUCUGAGAGGAUGAUCAGCCACACUGGGACUGAGACACGGCCCAGACUCCUACGGGAGGCAGCAGUGGGGAAUAUUGGACAAUGGGCGAAAGCCUGAUCCAGCAAUGCCGCGUGAGUGAUGAAGGCCUUAGGGUUGUAAAGCUCUUUACCCGUAGAUGAUAAUGACAGUAUCGGGAGAAUAAGCUCCGGCUAACUCCGUGCCAGCAGCCGCGGUAAU
rnacentral:rRNA from 1 species